GGGGAAUUUUGGACAAUGGGCGCAAGCCUGAUCCAGCAAUGCCGCGUGCAGGAUGAAGGCCUUCGGGUUGUAAACUGCUUUUGUACGGAACGAAAAGCCUCUCUCUAAUACAGGGGGGUGAUGACGGUACCGUAAGAAUAAGCACCGGCUAACUACGUGCCAGCAGCCGCGGUAAUACGUAGGGUGCAAGCGUUAAUCGGAAUUACUGGGCGUAAAGCGUGCGCAGGCGGUUUUGUAAGACAGUGGUGAAAUCUUCGAGCUUAACUCGGAAACUGCCAUUGAUACUAUUAGUCUUGAAUAUUGUGGAGGUUAGCGGAAUAUGUCAUGUAGCGGUGAAAUGCUUAGAUAUGACAUAGAACACCAAUUGCGAAGGCAGCUGGCUACACAUAUAUUGACACUGAGGCACGAAAGCGUGGGGAUCAAACA
rnacentral:rRNA from 1 species